GCAUUGGCUCAUCACCAGCACUCCAGCAGGCAGGCAAAACGCAAGCAACACCUCUCCGCCAGACAUCAUGGCCGCUUCUGUCGAGCCGCGGCAGCAGUUCGGCCGCCUCGAGGCGGUGCGGGGAGCCGCCGCGAACGGCGCCAAGGCGUACCCUCCUCCGGCGAGCCACAUCCCUCGCCGCGCCGACUCUCCCGUGCGCGGCUGCGGCUUCCCUCCCCUCGUCUCGCCGCCGCGCACCAAGCCCGACGAGGCGUCGGACGACGAGGACGACGAGCAGGAGGACUGGCGCGAGCUCUACGGCUCCCACCUGCAGCUAGAGGUGGAGCCGGCGGUGCACGACUCGCGCGACGAGGGCACCGCGGACGCG
rnacentral:lncRNA from 1 species